rfam:Picea glauca, whole genome shotgun sequence.
UAAUAGGUUUUUCUUAAAACUACAUCACCUACCUAAUAAACCUUAU